ACUUGGCUGGCCGAGUUGGUAGAGCAUGUGACUCUUGAUCUCAGUGCCAUGAGUUCAAGCCCCAUGCUGGGUG
rnacentral:tRNA from 1 species